GAUGAAGAACGUAGCGAAAUGCGAUAAGUAGUGUGAAUUGCAGAAUUCAGUGAAUCAUCGAAUCUUUGAACGCACAUUGCGCCCCUUGGUAUCCCGAGGGGCAUGCCUGUUCGAGCGUCAUUUCACCACUCAAGCCUGGCUUGGUGUUGGGCGACGUCCUCUUUGGGGACGCGCCUCGAAACGCUCGGCGGCGUGGCACCGGCUUUAAGCGUAGCAGAAUCUUUCGCUUUGGAAGUCGGGGCCCCGUCUGCCGGAAGACCUGCUCGCAAGGUUGACCUCGGAUCAGGCAGGGAUACCCGCUGAACUUAAGCAUAUCAAUAAGCCGAGGA
rnacentral:misc_RNA from 1 species